rnacentral:rRNA from 1 species
CCCUUAGAUGUUCUAGGCCGCACGCGCGCUACACUGACGAUGGCAACGAGUUUUUCCUUCGCCGAAAGGUGUGGGUAAUCUUUUGAAACAUCGUCGUGCUGGGGAUAGAUCAUUGCAAUUUUUGAUCUUGAACGAGGAAUUCCUAGUAAGCGCGAGUCAUCAGUUCGCGUUGAUUACGUCCCUGCCCUUUGUACACACCGCCCGUCGCUACUACCGAUUGAAUGGUUUAGUGAGGACUCCUGAUUGGCGCCGCCGCCCCGGCAACGGAGCAGCGGACUGCCGAAAAGUUGUUCAAACUUGAUCAUUUAGAGGAAGUAAAAGUCGUAACA